rnacentral:rRNA from 1 species
UACGAAGGUGGCAAGCGUUGUUCGGAUUUACUGGGCGUACAGGGAGCGUAGGCGGUUGGAUAAGCCCUCCGUGAAAUCUCCGGGCUUAACUCGGAACGGUCAAGUGAUACUGUCGGACUAGAGUACAGAAGGGGCAACUGGAAUUCUCGGUGUAGCGGUGAAAUGCGUAGAUAUCGAGAGGAACACCUGCGGCGAAGGCGGGUUGCUGGGCUGAUACUGACGCUGAGGCGCGAAAGCCAGGGGAGCGAACGGG